GAGCGGCCCCUGCUGACCACACGGGCAGAGUACACGGGAAGCGCGGUGUUGGGUGUGGACAGUGAUCUGAGCCUGUCCACGGCUUUGGUUGGAAAGAGAAUUGCAUCUCUCAUCCUGGGGCAACGCAUCUAUAAACACAGAGACAGUCAUCUGAGGCUCUUUUUACGAGGCUGAUGGAGUGGAGGGAACCCUUCUUCUUGGCCACCUCUGGCUGUCCCUGGACCGAGACAAGGCCUCAGGGGAGCUCUGAGGGCCAGGCUGAGAGAGACAGUCCCAGGAGCAGAGCCCACCAGACCCAUCACCUCGGCCCCAGCCCGGCCCCCACAACCAUGUGGUCUUAGAUAAUUUGGCUUCCCUGAGCCCCACUUCCUGCCUGCAAGGAGGAGAUGAUCACAGAACCAGCUCCCAGGGUGUGAGGAGGACCAGAUGCAGACGGAGCCUGCCCACUCCCUGUCCAGCAGAGCAGAAGGGCAGAGGGGGUGCUGCCUCCCUCCUGCUGGGAGCCCCAUGCCAAGGCCCACCUGCCCGCUCUUUACUGCACGAAACAUAGCCAAGUCUGUUGGUGCUGGUGCCAUUUCUAGGUUCAGUUUGUUUAAAGAGCCGUGGAGAAUCAGACACCCACAGUCCUGAAGGAGGCGAGACAGCUCCGGGGUGGGACGUGCCUCCUGCUGUCUCCCCAAACACUUCGCUCUCAGAGGCCCGGCGAGAUGGCUCCAGGGUGGGACGUGCCUCCCGCUAUCUCCCCAAAUACUUCACUCUCGGCUCCCACGCCCAAACCAGAAUAUUCAUG
rnacentral:lncRNA from 1 species